rnacentral:rRNA from 1 species
UACGUAGGGGGCUAGCGUUGUCCGGAAUCAUUGGGCGUAAAGAGCGUGUAGGCGGUCCGGUAAGUCCGUUGUGAAAGUCAGGGGCUCAACCCUUGAAUGCCGGCGGAUACUGUCGGGCUAGAGUCCGGAAGAGGCAAGUGGAAUUCCCGGUGUAGCGGUGAAAUCCGUAGAUAUUAGGAGGAACACCGGUGGCGAAGGCGGCUACCUGGACCGAUAUUGACGCUGAGACGCGAAAGCGUGGGGAGCAAACAGG